rnacentral:rRNA from 1 species
ACUCCUACGGGAGGCAGCAGUGGGGAAUAUUGGACAAUGGGCGCAAGCCUGAUCCAGCCAUGCCGCGUGAGUGAUGAAGGCCCUAGGGUUGUAAAGCUCUUUCACCGGUGAAGAUAAUGACGGUAACCGGAGAAGAAGCCCCGGCUAACUUCGUGCCAGCAGCCGCGGUAAUACGAAGGGGGCUAGCGUUGUUCGGAUUUACUGGGCGUAAAGCGCACGUAGGCGGACUAUUAAGUCAGGGGUGAAAUCCCGGGGCUCAACCCCGGAACUGCCUUUGAUACUGGUAGUCUUGAGUUCGAGAGAGGUGAGUGGAAUUCCGAGUGUAGAGGUGAAAUUCGUAGAUAUUCGGAGGAACACCAGUGGCGAAGGCGGCUCACUGGCUCGAUACUGACGCUGAGGUGCGAAAGCGUGGGGAGCAAACAGGAUUAGAAACCACUGUAGUCCCAUGA